GUGGGCUUUAAGCUUAUUUUAUUGAGAGUUCCCUGCUCAAACAAUGUCGGCGGA
rnacentral:ribozyme from 1 species